rnacentral:rRNA from 1 species
UUAAAUAGCUAUAGCAGCUAGCUCUUUGCCACUGUCACAUGGUCACCCACUGAAGCUAAGCAGGCUGCACCUGGCCAGUACCUGAUGGGAGACCACAUGGAAAAGCUAAGUUGCUGUUGGAA